rnacentral:rRNA from 1 species
ACGACGCUGGCGGCGUGCCUAACACAUGCAAGUCGAACGAGGUCCAUGCAGUGGCAACACUGCGGAAGACCUAGUGGCGAACGGGUGAGUAACACGUGAGGAACCUGCCCCGAAGACCGGGAUAACUCUCCGAAAGGAGCGCUAAUACCGGAUGCCCCCACCGAACCGCAUGGUUUGGUGAGGAAAUGGAUUCCGCUUCGGGAGGGCCUCGCGGCCUAUCAGCUAGUUGGUGGGGUAACGGCCCACCAAGGCAUCGACGGGUAGCUGGUCUGAGAGGACGAUCGGCCACACUGGGACUGAGACACGGCCCAGACUCCUACGGGAGGCAGCAGUGGGGAAUCUUGCGCAAUGGGCGAAAGCCUGACGCAGCAACGCCGCGUGGGGGAUGAAGGCUUUCGGGUUGUAAACCCCUUUCAGCAGGGACGAAUCAAGACGGUACCUGCAGAAGAAGCCCCGGCUAACUACGUG